rnacentral:misc_RNA from 1 species
GGACGAGUACGUUCCGGGCUUGUAACACCGCCCGUCACACCACGAGAGUUUGUAACACCCGAAGUCGGUGAGGUAACCUUUUAGGAGCCAGCCGCCGAAGGUGGGACAGAUGAUUGGGGUGAAGUCGUAACAAGGUAGCCGUAUCGGAAGGUGCGGCUGGAUCACCUCCUUUCUAAGGAUUUUAACGGAAUAUAAGACCUUGGGUCUUAUAAACAGAACGUUCCCUGUCUUGUUUAGUUUUGAAGGAUCAUUCGAUUCUUCGAGAUGUUGUUCUUUGAAAACUAGAUAACAGAAGUAAUUCACAUUCAAUUAGUAAUGCAAGAUAUCACGUAGUGAUUCUUUUUAACGGUUAAGUUAGAAAGGGCGCACGGUGGAUGCCUUGGCACUAGGAGCCGAUGAAGGACGGGACUAACACCGAUAUGCAAA